GUUUUGGUAGCUUAAUCCUAAAAGCGUCGGCCUUGUAAGCCGGAAACUGGAGGUGAAAUCCCUCCCCAAAACA
rnacentral:tRNA from 1 species